UAUAGACGGAGGAUAAUCUGCUGCUAGAUAUCCCCAUUUUGUGUCACAGUUGCUUCGAGGGAAUCAGUGUUAUUGCAAAUAGUAUUAAGUGCGCUGCUUUUCUACAACGAUUUAAUUUACGAUGGCUCGCUAUACAUCUAGCGAAAUUGUCGAUAUGCUUGUGGUUUUGAGAGAAUGUGAUGAAUUUCGGAGAAUUAGUUCUAUCACUUCCGAGAUGUUAUUUAGGGAUAGAGUAAAUAAUUGUAUCGACGUCCAAGAACAUCCUUUUGAAUACGAGCGAUAAGAAACAAUUUUUUUAGACGGAGGUAAGUUUUGGACCGCAAUAAAUGACCUUAAAUGGCCUUAGAACACCAAUAUAUCGAAAUGCGGCGAAUUCGCCGCAGAACGGGCUACACGUCUAUUUAAAUAGAAACAUAUUAGUUCCGUAUAAAAGUCACAAAGAUUAUCUUGAAAUCUUAAAAGUACGUCCACCUGGAGAAGAUUUGCGAUCAACGUAAGAUGACCUUCCAGAAAUAGGGAGGCUCAGCUGCGUACGCGCGCGCUCCAAACGAAAAUGCGUCUAUCCGCGCGGAUUUCCAAGAGCAAGAUAGAAGAACGGGCAAAGAACGAAUCAGUUUUCGAUAGAACCACCCGUGCGUGACAGCUGCGAUUCUUUUUUCCGAAUCUUUCUUUUCCUAUUUCUUCCUCUCCCUUUCUCUGUCUGUCUGUCUCUCUCUCUUUCUCUCUCUCGAUCUUUGAAACUUCGUGUUUUGCCCGGCUACAUAAUCCCUUCGAGCAAGAGGAACCGUGAAAGAAGAAAGAAAAACCGAGCGAAUCCAACGAAGAUGAAAUGAGAAACAGAGAAACGAUGAAGGAAAAGCGAUCCAAGUGAAUCAACGAGAGGGAACAGAGUAAGAUGGGAGAAAAAGGGAGAGAGAGAAAGAGAGAGAGAGAGAGGGAGAGAAGAGAGAGAGGAUAAACGUUGAAGAACAAGGACGAGGAAAACAGACGACCCCGCUGUUUGCCUUUUAUUAAACUCUUGUUAAACGCCGCCUUUCUUCGUACACACAAUUGAAUCGGCAAAACAGCGAAGAUAAUGCUUCGACCGAGUUGUACACGGCCGAGGGCCAGGCUCUUCUACGUGGAAGACUUACCGCAAACACCAGCUUCUUGUACACCCUGAAAUGGACACCGUGUAAUCCGGCUUUUUAUACGGCAGUGCCGCAUUGACCGGCUCCUCCAAGGCAUGCACAUCGGCUACUAUUGGCUAAUAAAUACUGUCAUCAUCUGUCUCUCUCUCUCUCUCUCCCCCUCUAUACGUUUCCGUUUGUUCGUGAAAAAGAACCCUGAAAACGAUUCUUCAACGACCGUGAAAAUCGCACGGCCCACCCUCUUCCUGCCGGCAUCGUUCACCUCUAAUGAAAAUAUUUGGAUAUUUCGAGCAAGAUUGGCGUGACCCACGUUUCAAAGCGUGCCAUUGUACGCCGUUGCUUCGAGAAGCCUAUAAGUAAGUACGUUUUUCCAUCGAACACCACUGGAUUGGACACUAUGAGGUAUUUGAUGCUUUCUGUGAUUUUAUCUGCAAGUUAUGAGUAUAACUAUUAUAUUAUAUAUUUGAUGAAUAUUAUUGGAUGUACGCGUCUAUUAUGCGUACUAUUUGUGUAUUUAUAUUUUGUAGGUUUUAUGUUUGAUAUUUCUUGUUUUAUUUUCAUUUAAUCCAUGCAUAUCUACCAUUCUUCCGAAAAGAUGAUUGAACGAUAGGUUCGUUAUAUAAUAUUUUUUUUUUUAUGUGUUUUUCAUGACACCAUAUGUUAUCUGGUAGUCUUUGGAAUUAUGCUCGUGUCAUUGAUAAUUCUCUUCUAUUAUAGUUCUCUUGAUAGUUUUUUCAUUUGAACUGGUCCUUAAACAGUUCACAAUUUCGUCCAAUUCCGAUAGCAUCGUCUCGGUAUGGUUUAUCAAAUCUUUUGAAAUUAUUUAUUAUAAAUAUGAAUAAACGAAUGUAUAAUAAUCAUUGAAUUAAAUUGUUUGCAUUCCUCGUGACUAUAUUCGACAUGUAAUAAAUAUUAUCGUAAUAUCUUAUCUUCUAACAUCUUAUGACAAUAAUUGCUUCAAACGUUUCAUCAAACCUCAGUAAAAUUUAUUAUUCAACAAUAGUAUCCUCAAUUAAUUGGUCCAAUGAAAAAUCUAUAGAUCAUAUCAAUAGAUCAAUUUUUCGAAAUCCGAUUUUUUAUUUAAACCAUUUGAAUCACAGAGUACAAAAUAUUAUGAUAGAAACGUUAUAAUUGUAACUUGAAAUCAAUUGAAAAAAUCAUUGAUUUUAAGAAGCUCAUAUCAAAGGAAAGUUCUAAAGCUCAAAGUAUAUUUUCUCUAUUCUGGUAUCGGCAUGAAUUUCACCAGAUUUCCAAGUGUAUCUAGCCUCCAGUAAUGGCCGAUUUAAUUAUCGUUAUCCGUAACCCCUUCGAUCUAUUCGCAUUUGUCAUGUUCUUCAAAACAGUUUUAAUUGCAGCUCGAUAAGACCGGAAAUCAAAGGUUAUAAACAGCAAAAUACCGACACAAAGUGGCACGAGAUAUCGUGGAAUGAGUGUUGCAAUUCUACGAAUUGCAAUGGGAGUCCGAGUCACGUACAAAGUAAGCGCGUAAUACAUUUAAUAACCCUUGUGCAGUUCGUCAACAAUUUUUCUACCUAUUCUUAUUGCUUUCCUCUUUCAAAUAAACUUUCCAAUUUUAUAGAAAAACCAUCGAUAACAAAUUUCCGUACAUUAAAUUUGUUUUGAAAUUGAAAAAAAGGGAAUACGAUUCAAGAACCGUCGUUGAAUUUAUUAUUAAACGAUACCGGUAACGUCGAUUAUUAUAUUUGUAAGUUCGUUAAAAAAUAAGUUACGGCACAGUCAAUUUCUCGUUACGACUUUUUUCUUUUUUCUUUUUUUUUUUUUUUACAAUUACCACCAUCGACAAAAGAAAGGACGGGAGAGACGGAAGCGUGGAAAUCAAAUGGAAGGAAGAAAGAAAAAAGAGAAUAUAGUUGUGCACAGUUUAUAAACAAUGUUUAUUUUCUGCAAUUUUACUUCUGUUCCAUAUCGUUUCGUUCUUUUUUCUUUCCCUGUUUUAAUUCUCUUUUACAAUCAUAGGAGCAGCCUACAUUUAACGUGAUUGAAAAAUCUUGCGCCAUUGCGAGUGUGAAUGUUGAAUAUGUAUACAGCACAUAUACAUGUACAUAACACACACAUAUAUAUAUACACAUACCUUUUCAUUUCAUUCUUAUCUUAUUUUAUGUAAUGUAUAUCGAGGUAAAAACUAAGUACUCAUAAAAAACGUAGAUCAACAUUUUUUUUCUUUAUUUUUUUCAAUUUUUUUUUUUCUCUCGUUCUGGUGGGAUAUCGUUUAUAAGGGCACAUUAUAGGACUCUCUAUGUGUACAUACAUAUACAUAUGCAUGUGUUCUCUAUACAUAUAUUAUAUAUACACAUACAUUUGACAUACUUUCAAAGAGAUAUGACAUCCGGAUAUCGCUUUCUUCGUUCAACUCGACUCAACAAAAUUCCACAAUAUACCUGCGUGAUUCUCUUCCUUCCCCUUCUUCUUGUCUUCCCUUCUUCUAUUUUUCCUUUCCCUUCUCUCCCUUUCUCGUUUCUAAGCGUUUUACAACUCGCUUUUCGCUCCCUAUUGACUAGUGACACUGAUAAUUGACUAAUAAAUACUGAGCUGCUACGAGAUUAAGGUAUACAAUGGAUUGGAGGAGACAGCUAAGCUUCCUUUACACGAAUCAAGCCAUCGAAGCGCUACUACAUUUUACGUAACUCAAAUUCGUUUUGUAUAGUCUUAAUGUUAUUUACUAGGAGACGAUGGCACGUUGGAUUGACGUAAGGAAAAAGAAGUAAAAGAACACGAGAUAGGAAAAACCGUAUGAAAGAAGAGGCAGAGCGUAAUUAGGAAUAAUCGAACUAAUCGUUGGAAAUUGCAGCGAACUCGUACAGCGACUUAACGUACGUACCGAAGUUUAAUCUGCGAUGACAAAUUUCAAGAUAUAUAUUCUUUUUUUGGCAUCGACAAGAAACAGAAGAACCAAAAGACUCGUAAACAUCUCUAAUUACUUUGACCUGUUUUCACAUUAUUUACACAUAUACAUGUAUGUAUGUAUACGUAUAUGUAUAUAUUUCUAUAUUUCUAUAUGGCAUAAGUAUAAUCGUUGAGAUAGACGUCCGGGAUAAAAACAGGUCAUCAAGUAAUUAGAACCAUUUUCACGUAGUAUCAUUGCUAUUUUGUUUGUCAGCUUGGAAAACCUUUCGUUUCUGUUCCUUUUGCCAUUUGUUUCUUUUUUUACUUGUUUCUGGGGUUUUUUUCUCUGUCAAUAAUCUCAUCUAUCGAAUUUCACGAAUUCUCCUACAUAUAAAAAUAUACAUAUGUAUAUACGUAAUAAAUUCUCGCUUCAUACAACUUUGUUUCUUUUUUUUUUUUUUUUUUUUUUUUGAAGCGAAUCUUCGUGUACGUUUAUAUAGCAUUUUCUGCAUUUUCUGAACUCUAUGCGAUAAAGGGAAUAUAUUAACAGUACAAUAUAUGCGUGUGAAGUUGAACACACGUGAGAUUUAAAUAUACUGCUGGUGGAAGGGAUAUAGUGAAGUCAUAAAGUAACGCUUAAAUAGGGACGCACCAUAGCCAUAUUUUCUGGACGCUCAUUCUAAGAUGGAGCCAUCUUAAAUUCCAGAUUGCAAACAUUAUUUAUAUAUUUGUAUUUAAAAGCUCUGCUUACAAUCGUUCAUUAGACCUACAUGAUUCGUUUAUUAACUCUUGUUGGUUUCUAUUUCAUAAUAAUUAUUGUAUUGAUAAAAAUUAAGCUACAACUACUUACACAGGAAGAACUAGUUCCAACUUGCAAUUUAUCUAUUCUUAAAUCCCUUAGAUCUUCUCAGAUUUCCAUAUUGAUGUUAAAAAUUCGUAUACUUUCAGGCAUGAUGAAUUUUACGAUCUCACCAUAUCUCUUCCACCCACACUACCUAUCGUUUCGACCAUGAAAUUCGAAGGAAAUCCAAUGACGAUAUAUGAAUGCAAACACGUGAAGGUACAGGAAUUUAGAACUUCAUCUACAAUCUCUUAAAAACGUUUCAACGCCAUGAUCAUUUCCCUGCUUGGCAUCGAUAGCGACACAACUCUAAAAUUGUACAUUUUAAAGUAUAUUUUCAAAUCAUUUCAAUGACAUUGUAAAGCUGACUUAACGCAAGAUACGUCAGUAUUCACGAAAGCGGUACAACCUUCCGCUUGUAGCGUCAUGAAACAACUGAAAAUAGGCUAGUGUUGUAAAACUAAGGGUUAGGUUGAUAGCAACAUACAUAAGUAACGAUUUUGUCCUCUGACACAAAACUGAAUUAUAGAAUUACAAAUCUACCAUUUUUUAUGAUAAAGCUAGAAACCUAAUGCAGACCUUUUAUUCAAUAAAAGAAAUUCUGAAACUUCUUGAGUUGUGUCGCCGUUAGUGUGAAGCAGCGAUUUGUUCCCCUUCGAAUGAAAUAUAAUUAUGACGCGUGCAAAAACUCUCGUUCACUCUUUUGUAUAGAUGGAGUUUGUAGAUGGAAAAUGUAAUACAUUUAACAAAGUCUAGCUACUUAUAAAUCUGUGUUAAUAAAUCUGUUACUCA